GAAAUCUGUUUGUUGAACUAGUCCAUUGUUCACUAAAGGAGACCUGAGUGUAAAACUGCAUGAGGUAAUUGCAGUCACAAGGCCAUCGCAGCGACCGUCGUCCCAGCAACCACAGCGAGAACGUCCAUGCGGAACUGAGAACUGCACCUGUCCUACAAUUUGUUUACAGUAACCCUAACAAACCUAGGUGCGUCCAUAUUCAGGUGCUCAGACCUGCAGGGAGGACGUGAGCGCUCGGAGUUGCACAGGAAUUGUUUGUCAUUUAUUCCUUGUCCUUACUUUGAUCUGGUGUAAGGACGCAUCAGUAAACCAGGAGAAUUCGCUGGUUUUAUGGUGACCAUCUACGUUGCUGUUAUCACGUUGGAAUUCUGUCUAAAGGACUUCCUGUUUUAUACCUUCAUUCUUUUUUUCUUUUUUUUUUUAAUGAUCAUUUUUGUAUUUGGUCUAAAAUUUGCCUGCUUCCCACUUCUGUCAAGUUUUUGGACGUGGAAUAUCUUUCAUUACGGGACUUCUUUUAACAUUUGGGUCGUCAAAAGAAAUCAUUUCAGUUCAUCUGAGACACAACGUCAAAACCGGUACGGAAAGCAGAAGCAAGAGAGAGAUACAGAGAAGAAAACACUGAGUACUGGAUUCAUCCUUUUAAAAGCCACGACCCUGAAUCUGAUUAUAAUUUGAUCGUUAUUUAACGACUAGUUAGUGAGGCACCUUUUAGCUUUAGUUUUAAGUGUUCAGAAGAAAGUAUUUCUAAAUACACAGCACAAUCAUUCACACCCAAAACUAGGUGUGCAUCUUCGUCGGUCUUGCUCUACCAGUUGUACUAGAUUUUUAUUUCCUUCCAGUGAGUUUUUAACCGAAUGCUUUCACUGUCACUCGGUGUUGAAAGGUAGCUUUGGAUGGAAGAUCUGUGAUGUCCAAUGUGUAAAAAUUUGUGUAAAUGAAAGAAGAAAAAGAAAGAAACAUGACUCUAAACAUAAACAUCAAACACAAAGAAGAAGCUUAUACAGAAAGCAGAAGAAAAUCCUGACAGUGAGAACAAACUCACAACAUGAUUGGAUGAAUUCUCAGCUAGACCCUGAAACCGACGCGAUGACGAGUUCACACUGAUGAUGGAGUGAAACUGUCAGUGGAGGAGACGGAACCAGCACGGACCCAGAGCUCAGUGCGACCGUUCCACUCCGACUACGACACCUACGACCUACGAGAUUCUGAUGAAGAGGCAGAGGAGGCAGAAGAUGCAGAUGAGGCAGAGGAGGUUUCCCAGCUGGAAAAUAUUCUACAGCUUUCUGUGCGUGAAGAAGAAAGAGGAAACCUUCUUGCCAGGUCUUUGGAUGAGUCUUCGGAGGUCAACAACUAUACAGAUGGUGGAGUGAAACUGUCAGUGGAGGAGACGGAACCAGAAUGGACCCAGAGCUCAGUGCGACCGUUCUACUCCGACUACGACACCUACGACCUACGAGAUUCUGAUGAAGAGGCAGAGUGAUCUAACUCUAAACAUGGACCGUGACUACGACUACGAUACGAACUAAACUAACUCUAUGAUAAUCUGCCGCGUUGUGUGCUGGGAGGCGCGCGUUAUAUAUGUGGACAUGAUCAGUGUCUAAACCGCUAGCAGCUGAGAGCAAUACAGACACACGUGAAAUCCCAGCCAAUGGCAGAACAGGGAGGAGACAUGACAGAAACAUAAACAAAACACACAUGUCCAGAUGUCAUUACGGUCAACAAUGGAAAAGCAGGCACUCGCGCAUUCGCGCUUUGAGCACACUGCUUCAAGGGGGAGUCUUGACAGAACCCCCCCCCCCAAAGGCACUCCUCCCGGAGUGCCAUGAGUCCUCCCUUCUCAUUGGCGGCCCCGGGCCCCUGGGCUGAAUGUCCCAAGCAGAGCCAGGAAACCACACGGUGACGGAGCAGGGAAGCAGAGCGACCCCAUGUCACUAUGGUCAACAAUGGAAAAGCAGGCGCUCGCGCAUUUGCGCUUUGAGCACACUGCUUCACGGGGGAAUCAUGACACAGAGGAGGCAGAGCAUAAUAAUAAUAAUAAUAAUAAUAAUAAUAGCUAAUUAUACAGUAAAUGAUAAGUAAUGUAAUUUAUGUUAUAUAAAAAUAUGUAUUGUUUUUUGUGUAUUGUAUAUGCAUUUUUUGUAUCUAAAUAAAGACUGUUGAUAUAUGUCGUUAUUUCUUUUGUUCUUCUGUUGCUGUGAAAUUUUGUGAAAUAUAACAAAUAUAUAUAGCCUUCUCAAUACAAAAAACUAAGAACGUAAAAUGGACAACAGAAAUAGCAAAAUAUUAACGUAAAACAAAUCACU
ensembl:lncRNA